AUCCAGAAAAUUUAUAGUAGUUCUUUUAUCAUGAUAAUGGGAGGAAGAAAGAAGGAUCCAAGCAAUAUCUGCCUGCCCAUUAUAUAUCCACCCACUGCAGAAAAGUGUUACUGAAACCCUUGUUUCACAGGCAAAAUGACCACAUUUCCUCUGCAGCAAUCCAGACACUGCAGUGUAAAGAUGAAAAGGAAGCUCAUACAUUAUGAUGUCACAAAUCACAUUUCAUUGGAUUGGAUGUCUAUGUGUUCAUGUGUACUGUAAAUUAAUUGAAACACGGAACCAGUCCAAUAUGAUGAAGUCAAUAUCUGAUUGAAGAAGGACCUCAUUUCCUGAAACUGUUGUGACCUUACAAUGAGAAAAUGACAUAUCAGCAAACUGUUUGCUACAUCAUUUUAUUUCAGUGUAAUUCAUCUCAGAAACUCUUCUGUAAAUAAAAAUUAAAAUCAGCAAAAAAGCUGGUUCUGUUUUUUUCAAACUAUUAAGUAUUUCACAAAAAAGCUACUGUGACAUUUCUUUACUUAAAAUUCAGCAAAUGUAUGCAUAAAUAAAAAAAUCAAUAUAAGGCAAAUUCAAUUUUUUUUUAAGUGUUUGCUCCAGGACAGCUUGCAUGAUUGGCAGAUUAUGUCAGUCCAUACUGAUCUGGGCAGCUGGUCUGCUUGAUACUAUUUGCUCAAAUAACAUUUUAGAACAAGCUGCC